rnacentral:rRNA from 1 species
GGAAGUGAACCAUCUCAGUACCCCCAGGAAGAGAAAGCAAAUGCGAUUCCCCCAGUAGCGGCGAGCGAAAAGGGAACAGCCCAAACCAAUGACGUGUGAUAGCCCGUAAGCGUUGCGUCAUUGGGGUAGCGGGGACGGCCUGGUUCUGUUACGGCAGAGCCAAGGAGUUACAAAUCUGACGGUUAGCCAAACGAUCUGGAAAGGUCGGCGAUACAGGGUAACAGCCCCGUAGGCGAAAACUGAUCAGACUCCUGGCCGUUUCCCAAGUACCACGGGACACGUGGAACCCUGUGGGAAUCUGGGAGGACCAUCUCCUAAGGCUAAAUACUCUCCUGCGACCGAUAGUGAACCAGUACCGUGAGGGAAAGGUGAAAAGAACCCCUUUUAGGGGAGUGAAAUAGCACCUGAAACCGUAUGCCUACAAGCAGUGGAAGGGCUAUGCCCGCAAGGGAAUGCCCGACCGCGUGCCUUUUGCAUAAUGAGCCGGCUAGUUAAUCUCAGCAGCAAGGUUAAGCGUUAAGCGAGCCGAAGCGAAAGCGAGUCCGAAUAGGGCGUUCAGUUGCUGGGAUUAGACGCGAAGCUAGGUGAUCUACGCCUGGCCAGGGUGAAACGCACGUAACAGUGCGUGGAGGCCCGAACCAGUGUUGGUUGAAAACAGCUUGGAUGAGCUGGGCGUAGGGGUGAAAGGCUAAUCAAACCUAGUUAUUGCUCGUUCUCCCCGAAAUAGCUUUAGGGCUAGCCCCGCAUGAUCGUUAACGGUGGUAGAGACCUGGAUGAACUAGGGGCCUUACCGGGUUACUGAAUCCAACCAAACUCCGAAUGCCGUUAACCACCAGUGCGGGAGUCAGACGGCGGGGGAUAAGCUUCGUCGUCAAAAGGGAAACAGCCCAGACCGUCAGCUAAGGUCCCGAAGUACAGGCUAAGUGGUAAAGGAUGUGGAAUUGCCCUGACAGCCAGGAGGUUGGCUUAGAAGCAGCCAUCCUUUAAAGAAAGCGUAACAGCUCACUGGUCGAGCGGUUCCGUGCCGAUAAUUCACCGGGGCUCAAGCCUGUCACCGAAGCUGCGGAUCCAUGGACUCGGUCCAUGGGUGGUAGGGGAGCAUUCCAUGGCAGAUACAAGCCAGACUGCGAAGACUGGUCCAGGGUCAUGGAAGAGACCCUGCCGGCACAAGUAGCGAUAAGCAAGGUGAGAACCCUUGCCGCCGAAAGUCUAAGGUUUCCUGAGCAAGGUCAAUCCGCUCAGGGUAAGUCGGGACCUAAGCCGAGGCCGAAAGGCGUAGGCGAAGGGCAGUCAGGUUAAUAUUCCUGCACCGCCUGGAGCGCGUUUUAAGCAAUGGGGUAACGCGGAAGGAUACGCAUACCGACGAUUGGAAGCGUCGGGUGGCUGCUAUAGGGGGAUCUCCCAGGUAAAUCCGGGGGGUCAUCAACUCCGAGGGCAGUCAGGGAAGCUGGCUUCGGCCGGCCCAACUUGUUGAUUCCAUGCCGCCAAGAAAAACCUCUAGCUAGUGCUUCGGGAGCCCGCACCGCAAACCGACACAGGUAGACAGGGAGAAUAUCCCAAGGCGCUUGAGAGAACUCUCGUUAAGGAACUCGGCAAACUAGCCCCGUAACUUCGGGAGAAGGGGUGCCCCGGUAGGGUGAAGGACCUUGCGUCCGGAGCCCGAGGGGGUCGCAGUGAAUGGGGCCAGGCGACUGUUUACUAAAAACACAGGUCUCUGCAAAGUCACAAAAACGACGUAUAGGGACUGACGCCUGCCCGGUGCCGGAAGGUUAAAAGGAGGGGCCAUCCGCAAGGAGAAGCCCUGAAUUGAAGCCCCGGUAAACGGCGGCCGUAACUAUAACGGUCCUAAGGUAGCGAAAUUCCUUGUC